GGCAUGGAAAGGCCGGCCACAGUGGGUGAUAGCCCCGUAUGUGAAAAGACCUGUGUGGUACUGAGCUAGCGACAAGUAGGGCGGGACACGUGAAAUCCUGUCUGAAGAUGGGGGGACCAUCCUCCAAGGCUAAAUACUCGUAAUCGACCGAUAGUGAACCAGUACCGUGAGGGAAAGGCGAAAAGAACCCCGGGAGGGGAGUGAAAUAGAUCCUGAAACCGCAUGCAUACAAAAAGUCGGAGCCCUCCGGGGUGACGGCGUACCUUUUGUAUAAUGGGUCAGCGACUUACAUUCAGUGGCAAGCUUAACCGAAUAGGGUAGGCGCAGGGAAACCGAGUCCGAACAGGGCGUCUUCAGUCGCUGGGUGUAGACCCGAAACCAGGUGAUCUAUCCAUGGCCAGGAUGAAGGUGCGGUAACACGCACUGGAGGUCCGAACCGACUAGUGUUGCAAAACUAGCGGAUGAGCUGUGGAUAGGGGUGAAAGGCUAAACAAACCUGGAAAUAGCUGGUUCUCUCCGAAAACUAUUUAGGUAGUGCCUCAAGUAUUACCGUCGGGGGUAGAGCACUGUUUAGGCUAGGGGGUCAUGGCGACUUACCAAACCUAUGCAAACUCCGAAUACCGAUGAGUACAGCUUGGGAGACAGAGCACCGGGUGCUAACGUCCGGACUCAAGAGGGAAACAACCCAGACCGCCAGCUAAGGUCCCUAAAAUUGGCUAAGUGGGAAACGAAGUGGGAAGGCUAAAACAGUCAGGAUGUUGGCUUAGAAGCAGCCAUCAUUUAAAGAAAGCGUAAUAGCUCACUGAUCGAGUCGUCCUGCGCGGAAGAUGUAACGGGGCUCAAGCCAGUUACCGAAGCUGCGGAUGCACCGCAAGGUGCGUGGUAGGAGAGCGUUCUGUAAGCCUGUGAAGGUGUCUUGAGAAGGAUGCUGGAGGUAUCAGAAGUGCGAAUGCUGACAUGAGUAGCGUUAAAGGGGGUGAAAAGCCCCCUCGCCGUAAGCGCAAGGUUUCCUACGCAACGUUCAUCGGCGUAGGGUGAGUCGGCCCCUAAGGCGAGGCAGAGAUGCGUAGCUGAUGGGAAACAGGUGAAUAUUCCUGUACCGAUUGCAAGUGCGAUGUGGGGACGGAGAAGGUUAGCUCAGCCGGGUGUUGGAUGUCCCGGUUCAAGCGUGUAGUC
rnacentral:rRNA from 1 species